UACAGAGGUUCCAAGCGUUGUUCGGAUUCAUUGGGCGUAAAGGGCGCGUAGGCGGCUUGACAAGUCACUUGUGAAAUCUCCGGGCUUAACUCGGAACGGCCAAGUGAAACUGUCAUGCUAAAGUGCAGAAGGGGCAAUCGGAAUUCUUGGUGUAGCGGUGAAAUGCGUAGAUAUCAAGAGGAACACCUGAGGUGAAGACGGGUUGCUGGGCUGACACUGACGCUGAGGCGCGAAAGCCAGGGGAGCAAACGGG
rnacentral:rRNA from 1 species